GACGAACGCUGGCGGCGUGCCUAACACAUGCAAGUCGAACGGAGAUUACAGUAAUGGAAUCUUAGUGGCGAACGGGUGAGUAACGCGUAGACAACCUGCCUCAAAGAUGGGGACAACACUGCGAAAGUGGUGCUAAUACCGAAUGUGAUAUAUCUAGUGCAUGCUAGAUAUAGGAAAGGUGGCCUCUAAAUUUAUGCUGCCGCUUUGAGAUGGGUCUACGUCUGAUUAGCUAGUUGGUGGGGUAAAAGCCUACCAAGGCGACGAUCAGUAGUCGGUCUGAGAGGAGGAACGGCCACACUGGGACUGAGACACGGCCCAGACUCCUACGGGAGGCAGCAGUGGGGAAUCUUCCGCAAUGGACGAAAGUCUGACGGAGCAACGCCGCGUGAGUGAUGAAGGCCCUUGGGUCGUAAAGCUCUGUUAUUUGGGAAGAAUGUAUUUAAUGUGAAUAGCAUUAGAUAAUGACGGUACCAGAGGAGGAAGCCACGGCUAACUACGUGCCAGCAGCCGCGGUAAUAC
rnacentral:rRNA from 1 species